ACUUGGGAAUUGUUCUUUCUUCGCAGGACCAAAAGUACUUUAAGGAUUAAGACCAGCGACAGUGACCUCUUCUCUCUCUCAGCUUCAGUUAUUGAGUCUUUCUUGUAAUCACUUGGGGUACUUCAGACUAAGAUGUAUUUUCCUCUUUCCUACUUUGAAGAGUUGUAGACAUACUUGGGAAUUGUUCUUUCUUCGCAGAACCAAAAGUACUUUAAGGAUUAAGACCAGCGACAGUGACAUCUUCUCUCUCUCAGCUUCAGUUAUUGAGUCUUUCUUGUAAUCACUUGGGGUACUUCAGACUAAGAUGUAUUUUCCUCUUUCCUACUUUGAAGAGUUGUAGACAUGUAAGAGAAAUUUGUCUUUUCAGAGUUUUCUUUAUCUAUCUAGUUCCUUUGCUAUUUUA